GACGAACGCUGGCGGCGUGCUUAACACAUGCAAGUCGAACGGAGAUAUAUAAAUAGUUUACUAUGAAUAUAUUUUAGUGGCGGACGGGUGAGUAACACGUGGGCAACCUGCCUUAGAGUGGGGGAUAACAACGAGAAAUCGUUGCUAAUACCGCAUGAAAUUAGAUUAUCGCAUGAUAGUUUAAUGAAAGGAGAAAUCCGCUAAAAGAUGGGCCCGCGCCUGAUUAGCUAGUUGGUGAGGUAAAAGCUCACCAAGGCGACGAUCAGUAGCCGAUCUGAGAGGAUGACCGGCCACACUGGAACUGAGACACGGUCCAGACUCCUACGGGAGGCAGCAGUGGGGAAUAUUGCACAAUGGGGGAAACCCUGAUGCAGCAACGCCGCGUGGAGGAAGAAGGUUUUCGGAUUGUAAACUCCUGCCUUUUGGGACGAUAAUGACGGUACCAAAAGAGGAAGCCACGGCUAACUACGUG
rnacentral:rRNA from 1 species